rnacentral:rRNA from 1 species
UACAGAGGGGGCAAGCGUUGUUCGGAAUUACUGGGCGUAAAGGGCGCGUAGGCGGCCAACUAAGUCGGAUGUGAAAUCCCCAAGCUUAACUUGGGAACUGCAUCCGAUACUGGAUGGCUUGAAUCCGGGAGAGGGAUGCAGAAUUCCAGGUGUAGCGGUGAAAUGCGUAGAUAUCUGGAGGAAUACCGGUGGCGAAGGCGGCAUCCUGGACCGGCAUUGACGCUGAGGAGCGAAAGCGUGGGGAGCGAACAGG